rnacentral:rRNA from 1 species
UACGUAGGUGGCAAGCGUUGUCCGGAUUUACUGGGCGUAAAGAGCGCGCAGGCGGUCGUGCAAGUCGCGUGUGAAAGCCCCCGGCUCAACUGGGGAGGGUCACGCGAUACUGCUCGACUCGAAGGCAGGAGAGGGAAGUGGAAUUCCCGGUGUAGUGGUGAAAUGCGUAGAUAUCGGGAGGAACACCAGUGGCGAAGGCGGUUGCCUGGGGCUUUGCUGACGCUGAUGCGCGAAAGCGUGGGGAGCGAACAGG